UGGAACAGGAUACCGGGAAACUUCAGGAAAAGUUCAUUUCACACUGAGCAACGAUGAAUGCAGAGACAUUAAUGAGUGUGUAGAGAUCACAGAAAUCUGCAGCCCCAAUUCUGAGUGUUAUAAUACCCCUGGCUCCUAUUUCUGCACAUGCAAUGAUGGAUUUAUUCUCGGCAACGGAGAGAAGAAAUUAAAUGCAAGCCCAGGUGUUACAUGUGAUGUCAUCAAGCCUACAGAGACCUGUAAUUCUAAGAGUCAUGAUAUUAUUGUCUCCUAUUUCUGUACGACCAAAGACGAGA